UUAAUUUUUAAACUUGACAUGGCUAAAGCAUAUGAUAGAAUCCAAUGGAGUUUUUUAUACAAGGUAACUAGGGCUUUUGGUUUUUCUGAAGUUCUUAGACAUUAUCAGGAGAUGCAUAGAGGACUGUUAGUUUUUUUGUGAGAAUCAAUGGCAGCUUAUUGGGUUUUUUUUCAUUCCAAGAGAGGACUUAGACAAGGGGAUCCAAUUUCUCCUUUGUAGUUCAUCAUUGCGGCUGAAUUCUUGUCUAGAGGAUUGGAUCUUCUUUUUUGCAGGUAUACUCAAUUAUAUCUGUCAUCUGGAUGUGAGUAUAGGGUUUCUCAUUUGGUCUAUGCAGAUGAUAUUAUGAUACUAAUGAAUGGUUCUAUAAAUGGUAUCAAACGGGUUAAAAGUUUUUUGGACUUUUUUUUGGCAUGCUCUGGACAAGAAGUAAUGUAGGUAAGAGUUUCUUCUUUCCUUCAAAGGGUAUUUCAGUGGCUAGGAGAUAGAAGAUUGUAUUAGUUACUGGAUUUUCUGAAGGUGCUUUUCCUAUAUUCUAUUUGGGUGUGCCAAUAGUAGCAGGGGUUAGAAAAGCAGUUCAUUUCUAGCCAUUGAUAGAAAAGGUGAGAAAGAAGCUUCUUGGGUGGAAUAUUGCAAAGCUUUCUCAUGGUGGUCGGCUGUUUCUGAUACAAAGCGUGUUAUGUUCUCUGCUGGUUUAUAUGCUUCAAGUAUUAAUGUCUCCCCUUUGUGUUCUUCAUCAACUUGAGAGUUUGUUUGCUAACUUCUUUUAGGGGUCUUUGAGCUCAAAAAGGAAAAUACACUGGAUUGUCUGGCCUGAUAUUUGUAAACCUAAGAAGGAAGGAGGUUUGGGUGUGAGAAGGCUAGUUGAUGUAGCUACUGCGGUUUCAGUGAGAUUGUGGGCUAGAUUCAGGGAACAAAAUACACCCUGGUCAAAGUAUUUGCAGCAGCAAUACUGUGGGAGUAAGUAUCCAGUUAUAGUUUCUCCAAAAGGAAUGCAUCACCCUGGUGGAAGAGGCUGAUAAAAAUUAGAGAAGUUGCUGAAAAGCUGAUUGGUUGGAGCUUGGGUAAGGGACAAGUAAAUUUUUGGUAUGAUACUUGGCUUGACAGGGGGCCUUUGUUCCUGUUUAGUGAGGUUUCUGCAGAUAAUUUGGUUUCAGAUUACAUGGAUGAGCAGGGGUGGAGUUUGAAUUAGCUGUUAACUAUUCUAUCUGCUGAUUUAGCUGCUGAAGUGUCUGGAACGGUUUCCAUUCAUGGAGCAAUUGAUUAGAUGAUCUGGAAACCAGCUGCGGAUGGGAAAUUUUCUCUGAAAUCUUCUUGGGAGAAGGUCAGGCGGGGACAGGAGUCAGGUGGGAUUUGGGUGGCAGUUUGGAGCAGUUUGCUGAAUCCAAAUGUUGCUGUGUUUAUGUGGAGAUUCCUAAAAAGCAGAUUACCGGUUGAUGAGGUGUUGCAGAAAAGAGGUAUAUGUCUUACCUCGUAGUAUCAAUUCUGUGAUGGGUUGGAAUAUUGGUCUCACUUGUUCUUUGAUGGAACAGUAGCUAGGGAAACAAGGCUAUAUUUUGCUUGGUGUGAGAAGGCAGAGUUGUUUUGGGAGCCGGAAAGGUGACAGAGAAUGGUCGUUGGGGCAUGCAAGGGAGGUGAUUCCCUUCCUGAUACUAUGGUCUUUGUGGAGGGCUAGGAAUGAAUCUAAGCACCAUGAAGAUAAGGUCCCAGAAUAUAAAUAUUUUUUGGUAUGGCUGCAGGAAUUAUCAAGAACAGACAUUGGAAGGGAUAUGUCUUUGCUGCUAGUGUGAUGGGGAUGAAUGUGAAAGGGAUAACUACUAAUGCCAUUGAUGUGGUCUGUUAGAGGAAACCAAAUUGGGGCUUCAAGCUGAAUUUGGAUGGUUGUGCCAAAGGAAAUCCUGGAAUUUCUUCUUAUGGUGCUAUUGUGCGUGAUCAUGAGGGUAUGGUGGUGAGAGCUAUACAUGGUGUGAUAGGGGAGGGUUCAAACUUAAGAGCUGAAUUGUUUGGGAUUCUAAAUGGUUUGGAAUUGUGCAUUGCAAAUCAAUAUCUCCCAAUUUGGUUGGAGUCAGACUCUAUGGUGGCGUUGAAGGCUAUCCAAUCUUCUUGUGUUGGUUGGGAGUUGAGAAAUCUAAUCAAUAAAAUCAAAGGACUCAUAGUGAAGCAUCAUAUUCGGUAUUCUCAUGUGUAUAGAGAGGCAAAUGCAGCGGCAGAUUAUUUGGCAAAUCAGACAUUUAGUUUCUCUAUGGAAAGGGUUUUGUCUGGUCAUGAGGUAGAUAGGUCUGUUUUUGGUAUUUGUAGAAUGGAUAGAAAUGGUUUGCCUUACUUGAGAGUGUCAUGUAAAUUGGCAUAGUCGUGUGUAGACCAAUCAAGGAGGUUAGGUUUGGCCCCCCUCCUUGUUUGGUUUCUUUUUCUACAGAUAUAAUAUUCCUUUUGCCAUUAAAAAAAAAAUUGUGGCUCUAGCUAAUAAGCCAAUAGAGAUAAGAAAGUUACAGUAUAUGCUGAGAUAGUGAGUAGUCUAAAUGAGGCCAGGGCACGUGGAUUACUUUUUAAAAUAAGAUAAUGUUUUCCAGUAGAACACUUCUUAUUUUGUCUCUAGUAGAAAUUAUCUAAGAGUAGUUUUGAGUUUUACAAUUGAACAUAAUAGAUUUAGUAACUCCUCAAUUCCUAUGCCAUUUUGACUAAAUUAUCUCGCUGCAUGACUAGUUCUAUCUUAAUUUUUGCAUGAUUUUGUGUCACCGCAUUAAUUGAUUUCAUAUUUUGGCGAACCUGCUAUAGCUUUCAAAACAGCUUAUGAGAAUCUGAAUCUCGAUUUUUCUGGUAGUAAGUCAGUUACCUUACAGCAAAUAUGGCACCUCACCCAGGUAUGCCUUUUAGUUACUGGAGAUUGCCAAGGGCAUUCAUCUGUGCUAGUAGUGACUAACAAUCAAUUAUUGUAAUCUGGUUUCUUUUUAUCAUGGACAUGUUAUACAAAUCCUUCAAUAAUUUUCUUGAUGGUAUUUCAUGCAGGCAUUAGUGGGUGAAUAUUUAAAUUAUCAUCAUAAAUUGUCAAGGAAAAUGAUUCUCAUAACAGGUGCAAGACACCAUCUUGAGUGGGGCCAUGAGAAAUAUAUCCUUGAUACCAUAAAAGCCCAUCCUGCACAGGUAUCAUCCUUCCGUGAAUGGUUAUUGUUGGAAGGAUAUACCAUUAUGGGUAGACUUACAGCCCAGUUUUUUAGAACGUACAAUUAAUAAUUAUAUGUGUUAUUUAGAAUUUUCUAUGCAUUGCAAGGCAUCUGGAUUUGUUGUUUUUUUGGGUCAGUUGAAAUUUCAUUCCUCACAUAGUUUGGACUGUAGUUUUGACUUGUAUUUUUCUGCCUCAAGAAAUUAUUUUGGACAAUCUUUUGAAGGAACCUUACCAUGCAGUUAAUUCUCUUGUUUUGUUUCCUAAUCUAAUAGGUUUAGGUUAUCCUUGUCCCAUUUUUAAAUAUCUCAACAAUAGUGUUGAUUGCACAGUUGCUGCUGUAAUAUUCUUAAUGGGGGUUUUGUUUAUGCGAGUCUGAGUGACGGACAUGGUGCUUAUGGCAGUGAUGAGAUUGUCAUAGUGGCAAUUCAAAUAUCCUAAUAUAAGCUCAAAAAAUUCCUUUUUUUUCUAAGUGUAUUAUUUUCUAAUUUUUGUCAGUUCAAUAUUAAUAAACUGGAAUUUUUCUCAUAAUAAAUGUCAUAGGUUUCCUAAUGCAAACAUGAAAAUCGUUUGCUGUUUUCUUGUACUAGGAUGCUUAUUUCUUGUCUUUUUUUGUUUCCAAUAGUAUCUUGAGAAUGAGGGUCGAAUAUUGUUUUUAUUUGUUUGAUUAUGCUCUAUUUGGUGUAUUUUCUUUUAUCAAUAUGAUUAGCAUGCCUUUUCUGCUUUUUGGGUUUAUGCUGCUCUAGGUGGAGCUGUUGACAACCGGGAAAAGAUCCAGGCAUUUCUCUGGAUUUAUUAUUGUCUAAGAACAGGCUACUACAACGAAGCAAAGAUAGUUGCUGAAUUGUCACGUGCUGCCCACUAUUUUGCUCCUCAGGAACCUAUUACUUUGGUUGCGCUCCCUUUCAAUGACCAAAAGUGGUGUUUUUGAACGCAGAUGGAACUGAUAAGUUCAAUUAGUCAAGUUGGGAACUGGAAGUCUAACUGAUUUUGUUUUAUUAGUGAAGGUCACCUGGAUGAACCAGAUUGGUCAAUUCAACCAGCAAAACAGCAGGACCUUAAGUUCCUUGCUUGGUUUAGUUUUAAAAAUAUUGCUCCUUUAGAGAAGAUAGAGGAUUGAAUGUUAAGGGAGAGAAAUAAUGAACUAGUCUCUUUUAAUUUCCUUGAGCUGAAAGAAAAAUAUGAUAAUUUCAUUAA